rnacentral:rRNA from 1 species
UACGUAGGGGGCUAGCGUUGUCCGGAAUCAUUGGGCGUAAAGAGCGCGUAGGCGGCCAGAUAAGUCCGGUGUAAAAGUCACAGGCUCAACCUGUGAAUGCCGCUGGAAACUGUCUGGCUUGAGUCCGGGAGGGGCGAGUGGAAUUCCUGGUGUAGCGGCGAAAUGCGCAGAUAUCAGGAGGAACACCAAUGGCGAAGGCAGCUCGCUGGAACGGUACUGACGCUGAGGCGCGAAAGCGUGGGGAGCGAACAGG